UGUUCUUUGAUCCCUUUUUAUCCUAGGUCGGGAGAACGUUUUAAACAUAUAGUUCCUCAAGCCAAGCAGAUUGUUGACGUUGAGUAAAAGGGAGACAAGAAGGACAAACCAAACGUGAAUGCAGGUAUAUGGAGUGAAAUAAACAACAUCAUGAAUGUAAUUGGGAAGAUCACCAGAGUGUUUGGAAGUCGUCUUCUGACAGUAAACCCAAGACCAGUUAGAUUACCAGUACAACAAGCAGUAUCACAACCCACUGUUUCAAGUGGAUUUCAUCGGCAAUUUGGAAUAGAUUCAAAAGGAUUAUUUACAUGUCAGAGAGGCAGUCUGAGUCAUGCUGUCAGCUCCCAUAAUCUAAAAAGCAGCAGCACCCUCGCACCAAGAGUAACAACAUUGCUGACCAACAGCAGCACCAAUUUACAAUUCACACGAUCAUACAAAGUGAAAACAGUCUUGUCUCUGCGUUGUUCUGGAUGCUAUUAUAUUCGCAGACAUGGAAGAUUAUUUGUUGAGUGUAAAAUCAAACCUAGACAUAAGCAAAUGGCAAAAAUUAGUAAGCACAAAUUAAUGGUGGACGAUACU